UGUAAGUGGUUCUCUAGAGAAGGGGGAAAAAGGGGGAAAGAGGACAUGGAUAUGAUGACUUGCAGGCAAUUCAAUUGAGAAAUUUUUCCUCUAAAGCAGAGCAAAGAAAUCAUGGUACCUGGACGGGCACAUGGGGUUCAAGGAAGGAGGUCUCACUAUGUUGCUCAGGCUGAUUUUGAAUUCCAGCCUCAAGUGAUCCUUCCACCUCGGCCUCUCAAAGUGCUGGGAUUACAGAUUUGAGGCACCGCAUCCGGUCCAUUGCACAUGUUUGUAUGCUGAUGGGAAUGAUCCAGCAGAGGAGGAAUACAAUGAUGCAGGAGAGAGAGGCUAAUUUUAGGAGCAAAGAGCUUAAAGAAGUUAGAUGGGAUUGAAAUCCAACAUAUAGAUUGAGGGAAAGGCCUUUAAUAAGAGCAAGGACAUUUCAUCCAUUAUUAACAGGAAAAAAUGUAGAGUACAUAUGUAUAGAUGCUGGUAUUUUGGUAGAUUUCAUGGUGGAAAGAUAUGUAGAUCUUUCAGAAUUUCUUCUAUUCUCAGUGAAGAAAAAAGUGAAAUCAUCAGCUAAGAGCGAGGAGGAAAGGAUGCAUAAGGUUGAGGAAUGAGAGCACUCACCAUAAUUUCUGGGACAGCUGGAAAAUAAAUUGACUGUGGAAAUACAGUAUGACUGGCAAGCAGCACUGAGAGCCCACUUGAAGUUCAGGGGCAUGGAUUUAAAGGUCAGUUAUCAUAGUUGGCAUAGUUGUUUGCCUUUCUCUUGCCAUUAUCUGUUAUUCCAAGUGCAGGCAAGGGUUCGAUUUAACAAGGCAAGAAUGACAGAGGGAGAGAGAAUCAAGGGAGUAAUUCCAUUGUUGGUCCAUGGAAUAUAAGGUGAGGAGAGACAGCAGGACAUAAGAUAGUGAUAUAUAAUGAAAAGUUCAUAGGAUCAAUGGAUUUGAAGUCCCUUAAGCUGAAAAUUUGAUAGGGGGGUUCAUGGAGGAGUGAGCUGGAAAGCUAAGACAUGGUUAGAGAUUAGAGUGCUUGAAAUAGUCUGGAAAUGGUAGAGCAGUUAACAAUGGCUUUGAUAGUGGGUGCCUACGAUGGGGUGAAGGACAAGAUCUUUCCAAGUGAGGAGAUCAGAGAACUGAGAAGCCAAAUGGAUCAUCCAAGUGGAUAUGAAAUCUCCAUGCAUGAUGAUAGGAGUGGCGGCAGAGAGAAAAGCAGUAAACUAGAGCAGUUUUGGGAGAGUAGAGGAAAGAAGCCUAACCAAAUGUGUUGAGAAUGAGAGGUGAAGAAAUUGAGUCAGUGAGUAUAGACAACUCUUUUGACAAGUUCUGCAAUGAAGAACAACAGAGAAAUGGGGGUGAUGCUGGUGGAAGGGGAGAGUCUGAAAAUGACAUGGGGUCAAGAGUUAUUUCAAGAUGGAAGAUUCUAGAAUAUGUGUAUGAUGGUACUGAUUAAUUAGGGAGAAAUUGAUGCUGUAGAAGAGAGAGGAUAACUGCAGGAAGAAAGUUCUUCAGGAAAUGAGAGUGGUAUCUAAAGCAUAAGUGAAGGAUUUUGCUUUUCAUUAAAAAAAAAGGCACAAUUCUUCC
rnacentral:lncRNA from 10 species